UCGGGAAUUUUGGGCAAUGGGCGAAAGCCUGACCCAGCAACGCCGCGUGAGGGAUGAAGUAUUUCGGUAUGUAAACCUCGAAAGAAUGGGAAGAAUAAAUGACGGUACCAUUUAUAAGCUACGGCUAACUCCGUGCCAGCAGCCGCGGUAAUACGGAGGGUGCGAGCGUUAUCCGGAUUUACUGGGUUUAAAGGGUGCGUAGGUGGGCUUAUAAGUCAGUGGUGAAAUCUCCGAGCUUAACUUGGAAACUGCCGUUGAUACUAUAGGUCUUGAAUUAUCUGGAGGUAAGCAGAAUAUGUCAUGUAGCGGUGAAAUGCUUAGAUAUGACAUAGAACACCAAUUGCGAAGGCAGCUUACUACAUAUAAAUUGACGCUGAGGCACGAAAGCGUGGGGAUCAAACA
rnacentral:rRNA from 1 species